rnacentral:rRNA from 1 species
CGUCUAUAUACGUAUAGCAUAUCAAUAAGCGGAGGAAAAGAAACUAACUAGGAUUCCCUCAGUAACGGCGAGUGAAGCGGGAAGAGCUCAAAUUUGAAAUCUUCAAGGUUCUACCUUGACGAAUUGUAGUUUAAAGAAGUGUUUUCUGUUGGAGUUUUGGUAAAAGUUCUUUGGAAUAGGACAUCAUAGAGGGUGAGAAUCCCGUAUUUGACCAUUAUUUCCAACUUUGUGAUACACUUUCAAAGAGUCGGAUUGUUUGGGAAUGCAGUCCAAAAUGGGUGGUAAAUUUCAUCUGAAGCUAAAUACUGGCGAGAGACCGAUAGCGAACAAGUACCGUGAGGGAAAGAUGAAAAGAACUUUGAAAAGAGAGUUAAACAGUACGUGAAAUUGUCAAAAGGGAAGCGUUUGACACCAGUGUUGUUUUCUCGAAAAUCAAUUAAAAAUGGUGGGAUUUUGUGUUGUAUUGACCUUUAUAAGCUUUCUGCACUUUUUUCAUGUCUUUUUUAAUGCACUUUUCGUUUAACAAGUCAACAUCAAUUUCUUUUGUUGUAAAAGGGUCAUUGGAAGGUGGCUUUCAUUUCGGAUGAAAGUGUUUAUAGCCUUUGACUUCUGCAAUCGGAGAGAUUGAGGUCUGCAGCGUAGAUCCUUCGGGGUUAGAUACAUUUGUGCUAAGCUAUAGCCUUUUCAUAGACAACAUUGUUGACUAUGAUCAGUCAUGUAGCUUACUCGCUUAUGUUAUUUUACCUACGCUUAGGAUGUUGACGAUCAGCUGAGCGCG